AUUGAACGCUGGCGGCAGGCCUAACACAUGCAAGUCGAGCGGAUGACGGGAGCUUGCUCCUUGAUUCAGCGGCGGACGGGUGAGUAAUGCCUAGGAAUCUGCCUGGUAGUGGGGGACAACGUUUCGAAAGGAACGCUAAUACCGCAUACGUCCUACGGGAGAAAGCAGGGGACCUUCGGGCCUUGCGCUAUCAGAUGAGCCUAGGUCGGAUUAGCUAGUUGGUGGGGUAAUGGCUCACCAAGGCGACGAUCCGUAACUGGUCUGAGAGGAUGAUCAGUAACACUGGAACUGAGACACGGUCCAGACUCCUACGGGAGGCAGCAGUGGGGAAUAUUGGACAAGGGGCGAAAGCCUGAUCCAGCCAUGCCGCGUGUGUGAAGAAGGUCUUCGGAUUGUAAAGUACUUUAAGUUGGGAGGAAGGGCAGUAAGUUAAUACCUUGCUGUUUUGACGUUACCGACAGAAUAAGCACCGGCUAACUCUGUGCCAGCAGCCGCCGUAAAAC
rnacentral:rRNA from 1 species